GGGGAAACAAAAUUAAAUUCUGUCGCCGAAGGCGACAGAAUUUGUUAUGCACAGGCCAUCAUCGUCUCUGAACCUCCUGGAACCCAUUCCCACUAUAAAAUAUAAUUAAAUUUGUCCCUUAUAAGUCACACAGGUUAGGGUUAGAAAAAUUGGUUAGGGUUAGGCAUUAAAGAUCACAGAGGUUAGGUUCAGGAUAAAUUGGUUAAGUAUAGGCAUUAAAAAUCACAAAGGUUAGGAUUAGGAUAAACUUGGUAAGGUGAGACCAUAAAAAAGAAAAAAUAAAUAAUAAUCAUAUUACAAAGCGUAUUAAAUAGCAUGUAGGAGAUAAACAUUUCUAAACUUUUAGUAGCUAAUUGAAUUUUUCAUUGAGGCCUUUAGGAUGUUUGGUGUCCAAUUUUGAAAUCCAAAUCCUCUCGGCUUUCCGUCGUUCACUUACUUUCCACCUCGGAUUGGUUUGAAUCACCGUGGCAGAAACCGCCUGCCAUCCAUGUAAUAAAAAGUGAUUCACUAAA